rnacentral:rRNA from 1 species
AUUGAACGCUGGCGGCAGGCUUAACACAUGCAAGUCGAGCGGAGAUGAGGUGCUUGCACCUUAUCUUAGCGGCGGACGGGUGAGUAAUGCUUAGGAAUCCGCCUAUUAGUGGGGGACAACAUUCCGAAAGGAAUGCUAAUACCGCAUACGCCCUACGGGGGAAAGCAGGGGAUCUUCGGACCUUGCGCUAAUAGAUGAGCCUAAGUCGGAUUAGCUAGUUGGUGGGGUAAAGGCCUACCAAGGCGACGAUCUGUAGCGGGUAUGAGAGGAUGAUCCGCCACACUGGGACUGAGACACGGCCCAGACUCCUACGGGAGGCAGCAGUGGGGAAUAUUGGACAAUGGGCGGAAGCCUGAUCCAGCCAUGCCGCGUGUGUGAAGAAGGCCUUUUGGUUGUAAAGCACUUUAAGCGAGGAGGAGGCUACCUGGAUUAAUACUCUAGGAUAGUGGACGUUACUCGCAGAAUAAGCACCGGCUAACUCUGUGCCAGCAGCCGCCGUAAGAC